GCCAGUUGAAGAAAACUGUGAUGUGGGGACUGAAAAAGUGGACCAAAUUAAAUGCAAAUGCAACAAUGCUAAAGCCCCAUCAUCUGGGUAAAUUGCUUCACCAUUCCAAGCAAAUUAUAAUUAGUAAUAAUAAUUCAGAAUCAGAACUGCAAAAUAUCAGGUUUUUGACUAAACAUUGAUCCUAGUAUCCAUUAAUUGUGUUGUCAGUUUCAUGUUCAAGGAAAACCUUUGGUUGAAGGAAGAUCCUCAUAUAAAGCAUGGAAAUAUUAAUUAUGUGAGCUACCUAUUUGACAUCUGACAACUAAGGUUAGAGCCUGUGUUACAUCAGGG
rnacentral:lncRNA from 1 species